AAAUCUUUUCUUACGGGAAGGUCUUCUUGAAUUCUUCAUCAAUGCUGUCAGUCAGGCGUGAAGCUAAGUCCACAUUGAGGUUUAUUUGUUUCCCUUUCUUUGGUGUGUAUGUGCCAUUGUUCUGAACCACACACUUCAAUGUCCUGUGAAAACCGCUACCUUUUUUCUU